rnacentral:rRNA from 1 species
AAUGAACGCUGGCGGCAGGCCUAACACAUGCAAGUCGAACGAGUCGCAGACGUGUGUAUAAUGUCUGGAAAACUGCCUGAUGGUUGGGAAACACUUCUGGAAAGGGUAGAUAAUACCGCAUACCAGCGGGUGUUCCCAUAUGGGAUUAGCUAGUAGGUGGGGUAACGGCUCACCUAGGCGACGAUCCGUCUCUGGUCUGAGAGGAUGAUCAGCCACACUGGAACGGAGACACGGUCCAGACUCCUACGGGAGGCAGCAGUGGGGAAUAUUGGACAAUGGGCGAAAGCCUGAUGCAGCCAUGCCGCGUGUGUGAAGAAGGUCCUCGGGUUGUAAAGCACUUUAAGUUGGGAGGCGUUACCAACAGAAGAAGCACCGGCUAACUCCGUGCCAGCAGCCGCGGUAAUUC